rnacentral:rRNA from 1 species
UUCAGAGGCCUCGAGCGUUAGGCGGAAUCACUGGGCUUAAAGCGUGUGUAGGCGGAUGCCUAAGUGCUUUGUGAAAUCCCACGGCUCAACCGUGGAAUUGCUUGGCAUACUGGGUGUCUUGAGCCAUCUAGGGGCGAGCGGAGCAAGUGGUGGAGCGGUGAAAUGCGUAGAUAUCACUUGGAACGCCAACGGUGAAAACAGCUCGCUGGGGAUGUGCUGACGCUAAGACACGAAAGCCAGGGGAGCGAACGGG